rnacentral:lncRNA from 1 species
UUAAAUGACAUUUUUACUGGGCACAAUAUAAAAAAAUCAGAAAAAAGUUGUGAACAUUGUUUAAAAAGAAAAAGGGUUUGUAAAUGUGAAACUAUAAAAAGAGAAUUAGGAUGGUAAAAAAAAAUAAAAAAAUAAAAUAUACAUGUUAUGUAAUAUAUACAAAAAAUGUAUACAUAUGUAUUAGUGUGUUAUUUUAUUGUUACGUACAUGGACGUUUGAAUCCACACAAGUUACUAACGUUCUUUUUUUUUUUUUUAAACACAAUAUUUUAUAUAGUCCAUUACAAUGUAUGUCCUUUUUUUUUUUUUUUUUUUUUUUUUUAACAUACAAAUUUUGUAUAUUUCAUUAGUAUAUACAUCCUGUUUUUUUAUUUUUCUGUGUUAAUAGUGAAGAAGAAGGUAUAAUAGAAGAACUGUGGGAAGUAAAAAAGUAUUAUGAAGACAUUUGUGAGAAAAUUGUAGAUAAAUACAAAGACGUGAUAAGUCGAUUUGAAUAUGAUAAAGAUAUAGUUGAGUAUAUAAAAAAUAAAAAAUUAAAUGACGAGAUAGAAUGUGAAGAUUGGUUAUAUUUUUAUGAAUUGUUAAAAGAAAGAAAAAUAUUAGAACGAUGCGUUGAUAUAAAAAAAACAAACGAAUUAUUAAUUCUAAAUACUUUUCAUUUUAAUGAAGAAGCUAAUUUCAUUAGUUGUUUAAAUUAUUAUAUUAAAACAAAUAAUUAUUCCAAUAUACAUCAUAGUUGGAUGGGUAUGAGUUUAAACUCAUUUAACGAGUAUUUAGAUUAUAAUAACAUAUGUAGUAAUAAUAUAAAUAAUAAUACUCACACUUUUGAAACAGAAAAAGUAAGUGUUCAGAAUUUGAAUAUCAAACAACAAAAAAUAGAUAAUUUAUACAUAUAUAAGAAUAUAGAUAAAAAUAACAAUAUAUCAACACAAGUACCACCUUUAUUAUUAUUAUUGUAUAAUUAUAAAAAAAUAUAUCCAUUAUAUUAUUAUUUAUAUAUAAUAGAAAAUGACAAAUGGGUAUCUGGUAUUAAUAAUACAGGUAAUGUACUUGACUAUGGUAGUGUUAAUUACAUAUGGAAUAAAGUAGUUAGAGGUGAUAGUAACAAAAUAAAAUUAUUUCAUUUAAUUACAUCCAAUUGUGUUAUAAACAAUGAUGAUAUAAACUUUAAUACAUUUUUAAAUAAAGAAAAAAAAAAAUAUAGAAUUCAAGAUAUGCAAUUAUGUGAACUUGAAAAAAUGUUAUGUAUUAGUCAUUUAAUUUGUUCAUUAGGUAUGUUAAAUAUUGGUGGUUGUUUUAUUAUGAAAAUUAAAUUAUCUUUUAGUAAUACAUUAAUGUCUUUAUUUGCUAUUUUAUCGAUUUGUUUUAAAAAGUUAGAAGUAUAUAAACCAUCUUGUUGUUAUUUAAAAAAUAUAGUUUUUGUAGUGGCUACACAUUUUAUUGGUAUUACUUCGAUAUUUUUGGCUACCUUGAAUUCUCGACUCCAGUUAGCACAAAAGGAGUUAACUAAUUUGUUAUAUCAUCAGUCAUGUAGUACUAUAGCCUUAAACAUUGAGACUAACAUUAAAAAUGUCAAUAGUACUGACAAUGAUAUUAACACUAUAUCUACUACAAGGUCAAACAACUGUACAAACCACAACCUUAUUCCCAAAAAAUGGCUUACAGAUAAAUUUUUUGAAGAAUACACAACUUGUAUAAAACUAUUUAACGAAUGCCUUAUUAACAAUUUAAAACAAUGUAUAAAUGUCUCAAACAUUAAUUUAAUAAAAAAAAAUAUAAAGAAUACGAAAGAUACAUUUAUAUCUAAAUUUUUUGAAAAAAACAAAAUUAUGGAUAUACCAAAAAAAGAUAAGUUAUUAUAUAAGACAUAUAACGAUAUAUAUUACAAUGGUGACAAUAUCAUAAGUAAUAAUAUUAAUAUAAUGUCAGAUUGGUUAGUUACGAACUCAGUUGAAGCAACAUAUGAAAGUGAAAGUGAAAAUAAAAAUGAAAAAAUGAGUAACAUGAUGAUAUACUCUGAAAACAAACUUUUUGUUAGUAAUGACGACGACAAAAACAGUAGUAACAGCAGCAGUAGUAACAACGGUAACAGUAUUUUAGAUUGUAAAAACAAGUAUGUUGAUAAUAACUACGACAGUGAGUACUAUUACGAUGACUAUUAUGAUUCUUACUAUGAUGAUUGUUAUGACGAUAACUGCUAUGACCACUCCUAUGAUGACUAUUAUGACGAUUCUUUUGACAAAUAUCACGGACACAACAUUUCUGGUUAUAGAAGUAAAAAUACAAAACAAAUAAGUGAAAAAUCGAAAGAAAGAAUAAAAUUGAAUAAAAAAAAAAUGUUAAAAAUAAAAAAAGCUUUAUUAUGUUAUAAUAUAAACAAUAAUGUAUUUUUUUUUACGAACUUAUACAACAUAAAUAUAAGUAAUGAUGUUAACUCCGUCAGAAAUAGGAAUAUAUUAGCAUACGAAAAACAUAUCACAGAUUUACUAAACAAAAUACAUUUUAAAAAUAGUGAUAAUAAUAAACAAAAACAAAACGAAUUUUUUAAAUUAGAAUCAGAAAUGAUAAAAAAGAGAAGCUAUUAUGUUAUACCUAAUAAAAAACAUAAUUAUUAUAAAACUGAAUUUGAAAUGUUGUUAAAAAAACAAAUUUAUUUUACUAAUAAAAAUUGGUUCAAAAAUUACAAGCGUAAUGAUAUUAAAUAUUAUAAAAAUUCAUUUUAUUUGAAUCAACAGUUAUUUAUAGAUUUAUUACAUUGUAGAUAUUAUAUUUAUUAUAAUAAAUGCGAUAUAUAUAUAAAUAGUUUAAAACAGGUAAUUAAACAGUAUGAACCAAUAAAUUGUUCUUACAUUCCUUAUAACUUAUAUGCUAAUAUAAUCGAUAUAUUGAUCGUUUUAAAAAACUGCGCUGGACUGGAUAUAUUUGAAGACUCUAGUUUUUUAAAAAAUUUUAUUUUUAUUAGUAAAGAAAAAACAUUGUAUGAUUUCUUUUCGAACUACCAACCGGGUUAUUACGUUUCCUUAGGUUCUUAUCCCGAAGGUAUUUUUUUUUUUUUUUUUUUUUUUUUUUUUUUAUUAACCCUUACAUUUGUUUAUGAUUGCACAUGACAGUUUGUGUUUGUCCAUACUUACUCACACCUAUCGAUGUUUACCCAUACGUACCAAUGUUUACCCAUACGUACCAAUGUUUANNNNNNNNNNGUUUACCCAUACGUACCAAUGUUUACCCAUACGUACCAAUGUUUACCCAUACUUAC